rnacentral:rRNA from 1 species
CGUGCUUAACACAUGCAAGUCGAACGGAGCACCCUUGAAAGAGACUUCGGUUGAUUGAUAGGAAUGCUUAGUGGCGGACUGGUGAGUAACACGUGAGUAACCUGCCCCGGAGAGUGGAAUAACACAGCGAAAGUUGUGCUAAUACCGCAUAACAUGGUUGUACCGCAUGGUGCUGACCAUCAAAGAUUUAUCGCUUUGGGAUGGACUCGCGUCCGAUUAGCUAGUUGGUGAGGUAACGGCUCACCAAGGCGACGAUCGGUAGCCGGACUGAGAGGUUGACCGGCCACAUUGGGACUGAGAUACGGCCCAGACUCCUACGGGAGGCAGCAGUGGGGAAUAUUGGGCAAUGGGCGCAAGCCUGACCCAGCAACGCCGCGUGAAGGAAGAAGGUCUUCGGAUUGUAAACUUUAAUCGUCGGGGACGAGAACGGACGGUACCCGAGGUGAAGCCACGUCUAACUACGUGCCAGCAGACGCGGUAAUACGUAGGUGGCAAGCGUUGUCCGGAUUUACUGGGUGUAAAGGGCGUGUAGGCGGAUUUGAAAGUCAGGCGUGAAAUGCCGCAGCUUAACUGCGGAGCUGCGCUUGAAACUUCAGACCUUGAGUACCGGAGAGGAAAGCGGAAUUCCUAGUGUAGCGGUGAAAUGCGUAGAUAUUAGGAGGAACACCAGUGGCGAAGGCGGCUUUCUGGACGGCAACUGACGCUGAGGCGCGAAAGUGUGGGGAGCAAACAGGAUUAGAUACCCUGGUAGUCCACACUGUAAACGAUGGAUACUAGGUGUGGGAGGUUUCGACGCCUUCCGUGCCGGAGUUAACACAAUAAGUAUCCCACCUGGGGAGUACGGCCGCA